GCCUGCUGUCGCGAGUCGCGAAUGUGCUCGGGAAGUGGGACUGAGACUCUCUAAUCGUCGAGAGGUCGGAGGCGGGAGCAAUCUGUGCCGUUGGAUCGUUUUGCGCCGUCCAAUCUGUCCCUCUGAUUGUCAUUCGAGGAGCUCAUCCCUCCUUCCGAUCUGCGAACGGCAUCCUCCCAAUGGAUUACCGGAGUUUUCCACAAGGUUUCGCUGUAAUAGGCGUUUUGAGCUUCUGUUCGCCCUGAUUUCCGUUGACUGCGGUCCCAUGAAUCUCCAAGAUGCGUUUGGGUAGAGCCUUCUUGCGGAUCAGAACGUUCGUUUCUGAAGAAUAAGAGUUCCAAGACAGGUUUCGGUGGAUUGGGUUCGUGGCGGAUGGUCCAGAUGCAUUCUGUACAUCGGUGUGUUUGUUAGGGAUUGCGGAGAUGAUGAGGCGACGGCAGAUCCGGACGGCUCGCCGGAAGUUCUCCGGUGGGGUAUGCGUUUUCGUAGGACUCGUUAUUUUGAUGUUGAUCGCGAUUUUCAGUCACAGUAGGCAGAAACAUUUUGAGUCGUCAUUUAUUCAGAAAUAUCGAAGAAGCAAUAAUCUUGCAGUGGGAUACAAUGUUACAGAAGAAAUGGUAGGACCCUUUUCAGUCUCUAGACAACUAAAUGAUCAAAUUGCACUUGCAAAAGCUUUAAUUGCAGUGGCCAAAGAACACAAUAACCUCCAAUUUGCUUGGGAACUCAGUGCUCAGAUCCGGAUAUUUCAGCUGCUUCUUUCCAACUCAGCAACAAACCAACCUCCUUCUGCAUUUCAUGCAGAAGUGGAAACAGCUAUUCGUGACAUGUCUUUAUUGAUUCACCAAGCGAAACAGCUUCAUUAUGACAGUGCAACCACAAUCAUGAAAUUGAAGGCCCAGAUCCAAGAUUACAAAGAACAAAUAAGCUCCUUGUCUGACAAGAACACAAAGUCUGGUCAGCAAGCAGCAGAGGCAGUUCCAAAGGGACUGUACUGCCUGGGUGUCAUGCUUACUAUGGACUGGUUCAGGAACUCGAAUUUACAGAGGAAGAACAUGGAGAAAAGAAGAAUUGCCGAGAAGCUCAAUGACAACAAUCUUUACCACUUCUGCAUAUUCUCUGAUAAUCUCUUGGGAACAUCUGUUGUCAUCAACUCCACUUCAAUUAAUGCCCAUCAUCCUGAACUGCUUGUGUUCCAUGUUGUAACUGAUCAAGUUAACUAUGCUGCCAUGAAGGCAUGGUUUUCCCUGAACAGUUUCAGGGGAGUAACAGUUGAUGUUCAGAAACUAGAAGAUCUCACUUGGCUAAAUGCAUCCUAUGUUCCUGUACUAAAACAGCUCCAGGACUCAGAAACCCAGAUGUACUACUUUUCUGGCAAGGCAAAUGUGAAAACUCAGAUAAAAUUCCAAAAUCCGAAGUACUUGUCAAUGCUCAACCACCUUCGCUUCUACAUCCCUGAAUUCUUGCCGCAGUUGAAGAAGGUUGUAUUUCUUGAUGAUGACGUGGUAGUGCAGAAAGAUCUGAUCCCACUUUUCAAAAUUGAUCUCCAUGGCAAUGUGAAUGGGGCUGUAGAGACUUGCAUGGAAACGUUCCACAGGUUCCAUACAUACUUAAACUUCUCUCAUCCAUUAAUCAAGGCACAUUUUGAUCCAGAUGCCUGCGGGUGGGCAUUUGGGAUGAACGUGUUUGAUCUGGUGGAGUGGAGGCGGCGAAAUGUCACAGGGAUCUACCACUAUUGGCAAGAGCGAAAUGUCGACCGGACCUUGUGGAAACUUGGUACAUUACCACCAGGUUUAUUGUCAUUUUAUGGGCUAACAGAGGUGUUGAGUCCAGAAUGGCACAUGCUAGGGCUGGGUUACGAUGAGUCUAAAGAUUUGAAGGCAUUCAGAGAUGGUGCAGUUGUUCACUACAAUGGAAACAGGAAACCAUGGAUGAAGAUUGCUAUCGAAAAGUACAAGGGCCUUUGGGAAAAGUACGUGGACUAUUCACAUCCAUUAUUGCAGCAAUGUAAUGUGCAUUAAGAGAAGAAACUCACGACAGAAUGCAUCCGAAGCAGAUGGUGCUAAUGGUUGUGGUGCUGCCAUUCCACGCAUUGCCAAGGGGUGUCUUCGUGACGGCAUUCAGGAAAAACGAUCGGCAUAUUGCUGGUCUUUUUGUUUUUUCCUCGUAGUUUCUGUAUUUGACUGCUCUUGUGACGUCUGGCAGGAUGUUUCCGUGGUUCAUUUACAAUAAUCAAAGCUGAAAGCGAUCACAAAUGUUUAGAGCGACAAUCAAUAAGCAGCAAGAAAUUUGUGGUCUAGCAGGAAGCUUCCGUGGUUCAUUCACAAUAAUCAAGCUGAAAGAGAUCAGAAGUGCUUAGAGCGACAAUCAAUUAAGCAGAAAGAAAUUGCAGUCUUUCUGUUAAAGUCAUGAGAAGUUCGUUGGUUGUGGUAAGGGAAGUAGAGAAGCUCAGAAAGUAGAAUAUAGAACUUCAGAAAGCACGCAAACAUAGACAAGGAAAUGGUAUUUUUUUAAUACACAUCCAAGCGCCGAAAUUGGUUUAUACCAGAGCUUUCGCCGAGUACAAAGCUAACCAGUUCAAAAUAC